rnacentral:snRNA from 1 species
GUGCUCGCUUCAGCAGUACAUAUACUAAAUUUGGAACGAUACAGAGAAGAUUAGUAGGGCCCCAGUGCAAGGAUGACACACAAAUUCAUGAAGCGUUCCAUAUUUUU